rnacentral:tRNA from 1 species
GGUUGUGGCUCAGUGGUAGAGCACUUGCCUGGCAUGUGUGAGGCCCUGGGUUCAAUCUUCAGCACCG